GGUUCCUUCCAAGCCCAUCUAUUCUGUGAUUCUAUGGCUGCACCUUUUUUGGUUUUUCCUAGUUCAGUCUGACCUGUAUUCUGUGCCUGUGAGAGGGACAGGGCACUUCAGAGGAGACACUCAGAAACCAUCAGGAUUAAACAACUCAAAGCAGGGCAAAGAGCAGCUGAAAGGCACCCGAGUGAGUCUGAGUGGAGUGAAAACCGGCAGAGCAUAAAAACACAUCAGUGGAAAGAGACUGAAAGCAGGAACAGCAUCCAAGAAGGAAAACCUCCUGCGGAGUCCCUGUGGCCAGCUGUCAGAGGCAAAGACAAACCACUCCUCUCCUCGUAUUUACAUUCUGCUUAGAGCACUCAGAGCGUUCAGCCCAAUGCAGGAGAUGCACUUCAAAAUAUUUAAACCCUCGUGUGGUGUUGAUCAAGUUCAGGUAACACAGCUCUGAAAGGUGAAUCAUUUCACCAGAACUUAUCUAAAUAAAGCAAAGCAAGCAUCAAAGAAAUGAAAACAUCAGGAAGAAUCCAGACGAGUCUGGCAACACUGCCUCUGAUUUCCAAGGGUGAAGGAUCCAACCCUGCAGCAGGCUGGAGCUGGAGCAGAAGUAACAUAUGGACAUCCAACCCAGAUUUCCAAAUUUAGUGUGAAGAUAAGGCCCAGACAAAGUUGCCUUGAAGCCAGAAGAGCUGGGCAGCUGGGGAACCAUCCCAUCAUUAACAAAACACUUAAAAGAGCCGAUUUUCUGGCUAAGCCACUUGCAGGACCCUUGCCUCUCCCCAGCUGUGUGUAGUUUUUUAACACUGUGGAGUUAUAUUCUUGCAGGGACCAGGGGCAGGUGGGAUUUGGAAUGGAAUAUGUGGGCCAGACCCUCAGCAAAUGUAAACCAGCCUCAGUGUUUGUCCUCACUGCAGGGUGGAGUCUA